rnacentral:rRNA from 1 species
UACGGGGGGGGCAAGCGUUGUUCGGAAUUACUGGGCGUAAAGGGCUCGUAGGCGGCCAACUAAGUCAGACGUGAAAUCCCUCGGCUUAACCGGGGAACUGCGUCUGAUACUGGAUGGCUUGAGUUUGGGAGAGGAUGCGGAAUUCCAGGUGUAGCGGUGAAAUGCGUAGAUAUCUGGAGGAACACCGGUGGUGUAGACGGCUCUCUGGACCGUAACUGACGCUGAGACACGAAAGCGU